rnacentral:lncRNA from 1 species
GAAACUGGAAUUCAGAUUAGAAGUUUAUUUGAUGAGAGAGGAGUUAGCAAGAAAAAUUAUGAUAAAUAUUUCAUUCAGUCUCUGUGAGUAGUUAAGGGAGCUGGUCUCCAUCUAGAGAUAUGUUUGAUUCAGAGUUCUGGUAAUCCGCAGACUAAGCUCUAAGCUUCACUCUCCCUCAUCAUUGCUGAAAUUAUGUGAGUAGAGGUCUUCUUUUAUACUUUUGUUAAAAUUUUCCAGAAACCCUUCAGAUUAUAAAUUGCUUUCUCACUAGUAGGUAAUUUUGCAACACCUUUUUUGUUGUAUGUUGUAGUUGAGCACUUUAACAGAUUGCGCAUUCCAUGUGUCACUUAGACCCCUCUUUAAUAGAGAAUCUUAGUUCCCGGACCAGGGGUCUAACCUACGCCUCCUGCAGUGGAAGCGCGGAGUCUUAACCACUGGACUGCCCGGGAAGUCCCUCUUGUCUACCUUUGACCACCACUGAUAGUCCAUAUUGAUCACACUGACUGGAAUGUGACCAGUGAACUCAGGAGAUGGCCACUGACCUAAAAUACUCUCAGGGUAGAAUCACCGCUCUGAAGAAGUGGCUAUGGUCAGAGGGACUCAGGGCUGAGACGGCACAUGCUGAAAACUAGAGAAAUAACUGCACAGUGGGACCACACCCCCUCCCUUUCCAUCCCUACCCACACUUGACAGCCCCUUGGUCGACACAUAGAAGGAUAGAUGUUGGAAUGGGGAGAUUGUCAUAAGUUUCUUAAUUUCUUCAAAUAAACUUUGCUGUGAAAGCUAAGCUGACAGUGGACUGAAUUGAGUCAUUUAUAUGGGAGAGACGAUGUGAGAACAGAGUUGCAAAGACUUGGACAUAUUCCUUAUGCGGCUGGGUUAUGUUCAUGGGGGAAGAAUCGGAUAAUCUCACACUGCUGCAGAGAACACUGUCCUGGAUGUCAGUGGGCCAGAUUCUCAGCCCUGACCUGCCCCUGAAUAACUUCUGGCAUCUAGAGACCUGACGCCCACUGCAGUGGCUGAUUCCAGAAAGGCCAUGGCUGUGUAACAGGAAUGCUGUGAUACAACUCCUUCCCCACCUCCUCCAUCUCCUCCUCCUGAGAAC